rnacentral:rRNA from 1 species
GAUGAACGCUGGCGGCGUGCCUAAUACAUGCAAGUCGAGCGAACGGACGAGAAGCUUGCUUCUCUGAUGUUAGCGGCGGACGGGUGAGUAACACGUGGAUAACCUACCUAUAAGACUGGGAUAACUUCGGGAAACCGGAGCUAAUACCGGAUAAUAUUUUGAACCGCAUGGUUCAAAAGUGAAAGACGGUCUUGCUGUCACUUAUAGAUGGAUCCGCGCUGCAUUAGCUAGUUGGUAAGGUAACGGCUUACCAAGGCAACGAUGCAUAGCCGACCUGAGAGGGUGAUCGGCCACACUGGAACUGAGACACGGUCCAGACUCCUACGGGAGGCAGCAGUAGGGAAUCUUCCGCAAUGGGCGAAAGCCUGACGGAGCAACGCCGCGUGAGUGAUGAAGGUCUUCGGAUCGUAAAACUCUGUUAUUAGGGAAGAACAUAUGUGUAAGUAACUGUGCACAUCUUGACGGUACCUAAUCAGAAAGCCACGGCUAACUACGUGCCAGCAGCCGCGGUAAUACGUAGGUGGCAAGCGUUAUCCGGAAUUAUUGGGCGUAAAGCGCGCGUAGGCGGUUUUUUAAGUCUGAUGUGAAAGCCCACGGCUCAACCGUGGAGGGUCAUUGGAAACUGGAAAACUUGAGUGCAGAAGAGGAAAGUGGAAUUCCAUGUGUAGCGGUGAAAUGCGCAGAGAUAUGGAGGAACACCAGUGGCGAAGGCGACUUUCUGGUCUGUAACUGACGCUGAUGUGCGAAAGCGUGGGGAUCAAACAGGAUUAGAUACCCUGGUAGUCCACGCCGUAAACGAUGAGUGCUAAGUGUUAGGGGGUUUCCGCCCCUUAGUGCUGCAGCUAACGCAUUAAGCACUCCGCCUGGGGAGUACGACCGCAAGGUUGAAACUCAAAGGAAUUGACGGGGACCCGCACAAGCGGUGGAGCAUGUGGUUUAAUUCGAAGCAACGCGAAGAACCUUACCAAAUCUUGACAUCCUUUGACAACUCUAGAGAUAGAGCCUUCCCCUUCGGGGGACAAAGUGACAGGUGGUGCAUGGUUGUCGUCAGCUCGUGUCGUGAGAUGUUGGGUUAAGUCCCGCAACGAGCGCAACCCUUAAGCUUAGUUGCCAUCAUUAAGUUGGGCACUCUAAGUUGACUGCCGGUGACAAACCGGAGGAAGGUGGGGAUGACGUCAAAUCAUCAUGCCCCUUAUGAUUUGGGCUACACACGUGCUACAAUGGACAAUACAAAGGGCAGCGAAACCGCGAGGUCAAGCAAAUCCCAUAAAGUUGUUCUCAGUUCGGAUUGUAGUCUGCAACUCGACUACAUGAAGCUGGAAUCGCUAGUAAUCGUAGAUCAGCAUGCUACGGUGAAUACAAUCCCGGGUCU